UAGUGAUAACUAAGAGUUGAACUUAGAUUCUACAUUAAUUUAGAAGUAGAUUUCAGGUUUCUAUGUUUUUCCCCAUUGAUUGUGGAAAACUUGUACCGGGAAUAUUUCUAAUGUUGGGUGCAUCCUGCUUAGUGCUUGAAGCUUAAUUUAUGGCAGCCUUUGGCUGUUCUUUUAACUUGUGUCUAGGAUGGAAGAUGGUGACUAGUAGAGUAUAUUCUUACUUGUAGCAUGUAUCUGCAAGAGAAUUGCUUAUUUUCCAAAAUAUUGCUAGAGAUCAUUGGUGUCUUUUUGUGGAUUAUUUUUUCACAUUGAAUUGGUGUAAUAUAAGAAAAGGAACAGCUCUCUGCCUCAAAUUUAGUGGCAUAUGCAGUUCCUCAUAAUGAGUUACAGAAAUUGCU
rnacentral:misc_RNA from 1 species